rnacentral:rRNA from 1 species
CGGACGGGUGAGUAAUGCCUAGGAAUCUGCCUAGUAGUGGGGGAUAACGUCCGGAAACGGGCGCUAAUACCGCAUACGUCCUACGGGAGAAAGUGGGGGAUCUUCGGACCUCACGCUAUUAGAUGAGCCUAGGUCGGAUUAGCUAGUUGGUGAGGUAAUGGCUCACCAAGGCGACGAUCCGUAACUGGUCUGAGAGGAUGAUCAGUCACACUGGAACUGAGACACGGUCCAGACUCCUACGGGAGGCAGCAGUGGGGAAUAUUGGACAAUGGGCGAAAGCCUGAUCCAGCCAUGCCGCGUGUGUGAAGAAGGUCUUCGGAUUGUAAAGCACUUUAAGUUGGGAGGAAGGGCAGUUACCUAAUACGUGAUUGUUUUGACGUUACCGACAGAAUAAGCACCGGCUAACUCUGUGCCAGCAGCCGCGGUAAUACAGAGGGUGCAAGCGUUAAUCGGAAUUACUGGGCGUAAAGCGCGCGUAGGUGGUUUGUUAAGUUGGAUGUGAAAGCCCCGGGCUCAACCUGGGAACUGCAUCCAAAACUGGCAAGCUAGAGUAUGGUAGAGGGUGGUGGAAUUUCCUGUGUAGCGGUGAAAUGCGUAGAUAUAGGAAGGAACACCAGUGG